GCGCGAGUGGCGGAAUGGCAGACGCGCUGGCUUCAGGUGCCAGUGUCCCUUGGGACGUGGAGGUUCAACUCCUCUCUCGCGCA
rfam:Propionibacterium acnes JCM 18918 DNA, contig: contig00011.